GAUGAACGCUGGCGGCGUGCCUAAUACAUGCAAGUCGAGCGAACGGACGAGAAGCUUGCUUCUCUGAUGUUAGCGGCGGACGGGUGAGUAACACGUGGAUAACCUACCUAUAAGACUGGGAUAACUUCGGGAAACCGUAGCUAAUACCGGAUAAUAUUUUGAACCGCAUGGUUCAAAAGUGAAAGACGGUCUUGCUGUCACUUAUAGAUGGAUCCGCGCUGCAUUAGCUAGUUGGUAAGGUAACGGCUUACCAAGGCAACGAUGCAUAGCCGACCUGAGAGGGUGAUCGGCCACACUGGAACUGAGACACGGUCCAGACUCCUACGGGAGGCAGCAGUAGGGAAUCUUCCACAAAGGGCGAAAGCCUGACGGAGCAACGCCGCGUGAGUGAUGAAGGUCUUCGGAUCGUAAAACUCUGUUAUUAGGGAAGAACAUAUGUGUAAGUAACUGUGCACAUCUUGACGGUACCUAAUCAGAAAGCCACGGCUAACUACGUG
rnacentral:rRNA from 1 species